rnacentral:rRNA from 1 species
AAUCAACGCUGGCGGCGCGCUUAACACAUGCAAGUCGAACGAGAAAGGGGAGCAAUCCCCGAGUAAAGUGGCGUACUGGUGAGUAACACGUGGAUCAUCUACCUCCUGGUGGGGAAUAACCUGGGGAAACCUGGGCUAAUACCGCAUAAGUUCGCGAGAGGAAAGCCGCAAGGCGCCGGGAGAGGAGUCCGCGGUCGAUUAGGUAGUUGGCGGGGUAAGAGCCCACCAAGCCAAAGAUCGANAGCCGGCCUGAGAGGGCACACGGCCACACUGGCACUGAAACACGGGCCAGACUCCUACGGGAGGCAGCAGUGGGGAAUCUUGCACAAUGGGGGAAACCCUGAUGCAGCGACGCCGCGUGAGCGAUGAAGCCCUUC